UACGGAGGGUGCAAGCGUUAUCCGGAUUCACUGGGUUUAAAGGGUGCGUAGGUGGGUUGGUAAGUCAGUGGUGAAAUCCCCGAGCUUAACUUGGGAACUGCCAUUGAUACUAUCAGUCUUGAAUACCGUGGAGGUCAGCGGAAUAUGUCAUGUAGCGGUGAAAUGCUUAGAUAUGACAUAGAACACCAAUUGCGAAGGCAGCUGGCUACACGGAUAUUGACACUGAGGCACGAAAGCGUGGGGAUCAAACAGG
rnacentral:rRNA from 1 species